AUUGAACGCUGGCGGCAGGCCUAACACAUGCAAGUCGAACGAGCGGCGGACGGGUGAGUAAUGUCUGGGAACCUGCCCGAGGGAGGGGGAUUACUACUGGAAACGAUAGCUAAUACCGCAUACCAUCGGAUGUGCCCAGAUGGGAUUAGCUAGUAGGUGGGGUAACGGCUAACCUCGGCGACGAUCCCGAUCUGGUCUGAGAGGAUGACCAGCCACACUGGAACUGAGACACGGUCCAGAGUCCUACGGGAGGCAGCAGUGGGGAAUAUUGCACCAUGGGCGCAAACCUGAUACAGCCAUGCCGCGAGUAUGAAGAAGGCCUUCGGGUUGUAAAGUACUUUCAGCGGGGAGGCGUUACCCGCAGAAGAAGCACCGGCUAACUCCGUGCCAGCAGCCGCGGUAAUUC
rnacentral:rRNA from 1 species